CCCUUAGAUGUUCUGGGCCGCACGCGUGCUACACUGACCGGCGCAACAAGCUUUUUUCCUUGGCUCGACAGGCCUGGGUAAUCUUCGAACGCCGGUCGUGAUGGGGAUAGAUCCUUGCAAUUUUUGAUCUUCAACGAGGAAUUCCUAGUAAAUGCGAGUCAUCAUCUCGCGUUGAUUACGUCCCUGCCCUUUGUACACACCGCCCGUCGCACCUACCGAUUGAAUGGUCCGGUGAAGCCUCCGGGUUGCACAGGCCCCGUGUCUGGCGCGAGAAGUUGGCUAAACCUUACCAUUUAGAGGAAGGUGAAGUCGUANCA
rnacentral:rRNA from 1 species